GACGAACGCUGGCGGCGUGCUUAACACAUGCAAGUCGAACGAGGUGGCGAACGGGUGAGUAACGCGUAAUCAACCGGCCCUUCAGCGGGGGACAACAGUUGGAAACGUCUGCUAAUACCGCAUAAUGAAGGAGGGGAUUGCGUCUGAUUAGGUCGUUGGAGGGGUAACGGCCCACCAAGGUGAUGAUCAGGAGCCGGGCUGAGAGGAUGAACGGCCACAUUGGGACGGAGAAACGGCCCAGACUCCUACGGGAGGCAGCAGGGGGGAAGCGUCCGCAAUGGACGAAAGUCUGACGGAGCAACGCCGCGUGAGUGAUGACGGCCGUCGGGUUGUAAAGCUCUGUUAAUCGGGACGCGGUACCGGAAUAGAAAGCCACGGCUAACUACGUGCCAGCCGCCGCGGUAAUAC
rnacentral:rRNA from 1 species